AAUGCACCAGUUUCUAAGUCGCUCUGGAUAAGAGCGUCUGCUAAAUGACGUAAA
rfam:Salmo salar isolate Sally breed double haploid chromosome ssa01, whole genome shotgun sequence.